GCUCUAGAAGCUCAACAUGUCGAGCACCGGACUUGUAAUCCGGGGGUCGGGGGUUUAAAUCCCCCCUAGUGCU
rnacentral:tRNA from 1 species